ACCGGAACCGGACGGAGUCAUGUGCUCGAGCUAACGUGGCUGCAGCCCUGUAGCGCCGCGUUCGCGACCCGCAGCCCGACCCGCGCGGCCUCCUGGGGCUUCUCCCGCUCCCGGCCGUGGGCAGGCGGCCUCCGUCGGGCCCUGAGAGCCCGUCCCCGGUGUGGAGCGGCGGCCGCCGAGCCGGGGCUGAGCCCCGCUGGCGGCGGCGGGAGCCAUGAACCCGGAGAAGGAUUUCUCGCCCCUGGCGCCCAGCGUGGUGCGGGCCCUGAACGACAAGCUCUACGAGAAGCGGAAGGUGGCGGCGCUGGAGAUUGAGAAGUUGGUGCGAGAAUUCGUGGCUCAGAACAAUGCAGCGCAGAUCAAGCAUGUUAUCCAGAUCCUGUCGCAAGAGUUCGCGCUCUCACAGCACCCUCACAGCAGGAAAGGGGGGCUCAUCGGCCUGGCAGCCUGCUCCAUUGCUCUUGGGAAGAAAUCAAAUGGCUUAAAGAUGUGUGGUUUGAAACCUUCUGCUGAACAAUUGCAAGAAGACCUGGCAGGAGACUUGGCAGUCACUGUUGGCUUCAAUAGGACUAUUGUCCCUGGUUCCUGGCUUAAACAGGAGGAUUCUGGGCUGUACCUGAAGGAGCUGAUUGAGCCGGUGCUGACUUGCUUCAAUGAUGCUGACAGCCGACUGCGGUACUAUGCCUGCGAGGCCCUGUAUAACAUCGUCAAGGUGGCCAGGGGCUCUGUCCUCCCACAUUUCAAUGUGCUGUUUGAUGGCCUGAGUAAGCUUGCUGCUGAUCCAGACCCAAAUGUGAAAAGUGGGUCUGAACUACUGGACCGACUUCUCAAGGACAUUGUGACUGAGAGUAACAAGUUUGACCUCGUGGGUUUCAUCCCGCUGCUGCGGGAGAGGAUUUAUUCCAACAACCAGUAUGCCCGGCAGUUCAUCAUAUCCUGGAUCCUGGUGCUAGAGUCGGUGCCUGACAUUAAUCUCCUGGAUUACCUGCCAGAGAUCCUGGAUGGACUCUUCCAGAUCCUGGGAGAUAACAGCAAAGAGAUCCGGAAGAUGUGUGAGGUGGCCCUCGGGGAAUUCCUUAAAGAGAUCAAGAAGAAUCCUUCCAGCGUCAAGUUUGCAGAAAUGGCCAAUAUUCUAGUGAUUCACUGUCAGGCUUCUGAUGAUCUGAUUCAGCUGACAGCCAUGUGCUGGAUGAGGGAAUUCAUCCAGUUGGCUGGUCGGGUGAUGCUGCCCUACUCCUCAGGGAUCCUGACCGCCGUUCUGCCAUGCCUAUCCUAUGAUGACCGGAAAAAGAGCAUCAAAGAGGUAGCUAAUGUGUGUAACCAGAGCCUGAUGAAGCUGGUCAUCCCAGAAGAUGACGAAAAGGAUGAGGGCAAGCAAUCCCUGAGCCUCCAGAUGGAACACAAGGAGGAAUCCCUAUCCCAGCAGGAGGUGACCUCCAGCGGCUACCUGGAAGCCUCUAGCAAUUCCAACCUCAGUAGCGCAAGUGUCUUCAAUGCAAGCAGCACGGACCGGGUCCCGGUGACCCUCAACCUGGAUGGGAUAGUGCAGGUAUUGGACUGCCACCUUCACGACACAGCCACUGGGAUGAUGACCAGAAUUGCAGUCCUAAAAUGGCUCUAUCAUUUGUACAUCAAGACUCCACGGAAGAUGUUCCGGCAUACAGACGGCCUCUUUCCCAUUUUGCUACGGACAUUAUCAGAUGAGUCAGACGAGGUUAUCCUGAAGGACCUAGAAGUUUUGGCUGAGAUCGCCUCCUCUCCUGCAGGUCAAACAGAAGAUCAGGGGCCAUGUGAUGGCUCUGAUAAGCGAUUCAGCCAAUCGGAGUUACACAUUCCCGUCAAAGCCAGCCAGCUUAGCUCCUCUGGUAUGAAAGGCAUGGAGUGCUCCCCCUCAACCCCCACCAUGAACUCCUACUUCUACAAAUUCAUGAUUAACCUACUCAAGAGAUUCAGCAGUGAACGGAAGCUGCUGGAGACCAGAGGAGCAUUCAUCAUCAGGCAGCUUUGUCUGCUUCUCAAUGCAGAAAACAUCUUCCACUCCAUGGCAGACAUCCUGCUGCGGGAAGAGGACCUCAAGUUUGCCUCGACUAUGGUCCACACUCUCAACACAAUAUUGCUGACUUCCUCUGAGCUCUUCCAGCUGAGAAACCAGCUGAAGGACCUGAAGACCCCGGAGAGUCGUAACCUGUUCUGCUGUCUCUACCGUUCCUGGUGCCACAAUCCUGUGACAACAGUGUCCCUCUGCUUCCUCACCCAGAACUACAAACAUGCUUACGACCUCAUCCAGAAGUUGUAUCCUUUUCAGUGCUGCCGGGGAUCUCUGAGGGAGUGGGCAGGGCAAGAGCAGGAGGGCAACAGUGGUAAAAUUAUGUAGCCUAAACAGGGCAGCAGACCUGCCAAGCUGACUCUCCCUGGCGCACAAGGUCAGAGCUGAGGAGCCAGCCUUGCCUCUGUUUUCAUAACAAACGGUGGUAAAGUUAAACAGCUGAUUAAGGAUGGUCCCUAACCAGUCCAUUUGCUAUCCCCUGGGCCAGGAGUAUAUUGUAUGCUUUGUUGUGUAAGGGAACUGCCUCAAGGCCCUGAGUUCAUUGCCUGCACCCACUCUUGCAAGAAGCCCAAAUAAUUCUGAAAAAGUCUGAAACGCUCCCCUCUGGUGUGGUACCCGCCACUGGGGCUUUUCAGACAAAUAAAGGGGCAUCUGCAAGUUGAGAGAGCAGCCAGUGCAAUGAAUUGGUUCAAAAUUGCUCUGUGCUCAUGACUAGGACAGCAGAUAAUUUUCUCCAUAGUCUUCCUGCUGUUCCCUGCUUGUGAAACCAGUUCUCUGUUCAACAGAGCACAGAGAAAGCAGUGAACCAACACCCCAGGCCCUCCCCUUUGGAGAGCAAGGAUGAACCUGUGGCUAGGGGACCAGCCUGGGACUUUGGAGUUCUGAGUUCAAGUUCUGGCUCUGCCACCGACUUCUUCUGAUACCCUGUGCAAGUGUUUUCAUGCUGUGUUCGUUAGGCCUGACGGCAUUUGGGGAGGCUGAGGAGCAGGGGAGCACUGAGGCGCUCAUUUGGACAGUUUCUUUCCUCUGUCAUGCUGCUUCUGUGGGGAUGGGGAGGAAGAACAGGGAAGGCGUGGGGCGUCCUAUUCUGCCCAUCCUUAAUGGGGGACCUGCUGUGAAGGACACGGCUCACAAAAGUUGUUCACACAUGCAUACACUUGGCAUCUCCUUGGAAGUCAUCCACCAUUUCACCUUUUCUGGCUGCCAUUAUUUCCCCUCCCUUCAGAUGAGCUGGGAGCUCCAGCGAGCUGCAUUCUUGCCCUGUUCCAUAAUGGUUUUAAGUGGGGAGUAGUAUGAUGUGGCUAUGAACUGCAUUUUUCUUCCUGCUCCACAGUGGAGUGAAUGACCUGAUUGGUGACAGACUGCAGCAAAGAUGUUGCUUCUGGGACAGCGGCUAUGACACCCUCGUAACCUUACCGUGAACAGGAAGCCAGUCUUCCACAGUUCCCAGUGACCCUAGUCUUUCUGGCUUACAUGGGACAGUGAAUGGAGUUGUGGGUCUGGGAUCAUCCCGAGGGGUGAGCGCCUGCUUUGAGGGGAUGGCAGCACACAGUACUUCACUUCUUGCUCUAAAUGCAGCAGAAAGCACAAGCCCAAGCUCAUCCAGCCAGCAGGAGCUGGGAGCACAAUGAUCUGCGCCUGCAGCUGCUGGAUGUGAAGAAUAACCCCUACCUGAUCAAGGCUCUCUACGGGCUGCUGAUGCUUCUGCCUCAGAGCAGUGCCUUCCAGCUCCUCUCCCACCGUCUGCAGUGUGUGCCCAACCCCGAGC